UAUGCAUUUGACCUGAAUUUGAAAGCAUCAAUCCUGAAAAGAGUUGCCUGGGCACUGGGAGCAGUGGGAACUCAUGCUCUGAUGGUGGGUUACUCCAUGGGCACCUGCCCAGUUCCUUCUCUGUUCACUCACUCCUGUGACAAGCAUGAAGUCUCAGCUCUUCUGCUCAAAUUUUAACCAUCUAGGUGCAAAUACCAAGUGAUUUUGUGUGAUUUCAGCUGUUCAUUUCCUUCUACCACCCAUCCACCUCACAUAAAAGUCCACUGAGACUUGAUUUUUGUGUUUUACCUAUCCCACAGGAGUAAGUGAUCUCUCCUGGUAUCCAAGAACUGUGACAAUGCAAAAAAUAAAGAACAGUAUGGGAUGCUUGUUGCCCCAGUUCUGUAUUGUUCAAAAUCUUACUUUCUCUUUCGGUUUAAUUCAGUCACAGCAUUUUCCCUAAGGACUUUAAGAGUCAGAGCUUUCUGUGCUCAAGAGUGAAGGCUAACGGAGGAUAAAUCAUCCACUGUGGGCCCCAGGAUGCUCCUCUUUGGCUGUGAACCAUGGAGAAAGACAUCCAUGAAAUGUUUGACUGCUUCUGAGACAUAGCCCUCCUUGCCCUUCAUUCAGCAAUGCAGCAAGAUCUUUGGGAGACCAAACGUGCCUGGAGAUGAGUUUAUUCUCAGAGUGUAUGAGGUGCAGGCUGGAGAGAUGCAGAGCUGAGCUGCUGGCAUAUGCCCUACCCAAAUUUACUCCUGCCCUCAGUAUUCCUCCAAGGGCAUUUUUCACGCAAGCACACCUGGUCACCCAUUCAUACCAACAGGAAACCAAGAAGAGAUGGAAUUGAUUAAUUAAAACAAAGUUAUUCAGGUCUCAAAUAGAAAUUUGGGCUGCUGAAGACUGAGACCAUCUGCUAUCCCCACUGCUUGAGAUGUUUGUGUUGCUCUCCCGGGCCUGCCAACAAGAAAGCUGAGGUGGAGGAUGAGCCUGAUGUCCUGGAAAAGCCGCAGAGUCAGACUGAGUGAGCAGGGGUGUGGCAGAGCUUUUCAGCUCCUCUUGCUGCACACAGCCUUUUCACAAAGGCAGAGCUGGGACUCGUCUGUAUUUCUCUUCCUGCUGUCCUUCUGAACACCAUUCUGCACGCAAAUGUGCCCAUGGACUAAAUACCUCGAAGCUCAUACUUUCCAGGAGAUGCACAUUACCUUGUCUUCUUCAAGCCUCUGUGUGGCUUAUACUGCAGCUGAUCCCAAAGCAUGAGCAAGAGAAAGAAUGGUGGUGGAAAUCCAAGGAAAAAAGGAAGCUUGGGCAGCUCUUUUAUGUUUCCUCCUAGAAUUGCCAUGGACAUAUAUGGAUGAGGGGAAGCACAUGUAUCCAUGUCUGUCACUCACAGCAGUUUGGAAUGGGGGUAAGAGGACCUGUCACCCCAAGCCAUUUUCCUGAAUGAGCUGUUGGAGAUCUUUGGUGCUGCCUCCCAUAGCCACCUCCUGGCUUAGUAGAGCUGGUGGCACCAGUCUCCUCCAGCAGUGCCUGCAAGUGUAUGGGAAGCAGGUGGAGGCAAGGCUGGGGAAAUGGGGAGGUGCAGAGCAGGGUGGAUGGACCAAGUGUUCAGAACAGAGUGAGAAAAUUGAAAUCCCAUAGAGGGAACCCUUUCUUCUCUUGGAAGGUACUUUGAAGGGCUGUUUUAAAAGAUUCGUCCAGUGGACUGAAGAAGAAGAAGACAUGCUUGAGGUACAAGCACAUAUUGCUUUCAGGACCAUUGCUGAGUAUGGCAGGAUACGAAGACCUGGUGAGCUACCCCUUCUGUGCCCAGUGGAGAGAGGCUGAAAAGCUGCUAAAAAAGGGAAAGAACGAGCCAAUGCCCUGUUGUUGUGAAGGACUCAAAUAGCACAGAAACAAAACAGAACUUGCAACACCUUGACUUCUGGUAUUGAAUGCAAUGUCAGCGCAGGCACAGCCUUAAGCAAAUGCACACAGAGCCACGGAGAAGAGGAAAACGUUUCUGUCCCCAGCUAAAACAAAUAUGCUCAGGGCAAUAUGCACAGAUGAAAGAGGGAUGAAUCAGAAUGAUGUAGCUGGACCCAAAACAAAGUUCUCAAGGAUAUAAACUGGUGAGCAUCUGGGUACCAGGUCCUGAAAAACCAAACAGUGCAAACAAAAUGGACAAUCAAAACCAGGGACAUCUGAAAUUUCACUCAUCUCAACAGGACAUUAGGAGUUAAAAUUUCAGGGAAUGGCAUUUAACCUGGAUACCCUGUUGCCUGGGUGAAUACUUUGACCACUGUUGAGAUCAUCUUCCCCCUCCUCUUCUGUUCCCUUCCUCAUCACCAAAACUACCUGACAAAUCCAGGAUAAGCUUUCUACCAAGAA